AGUAUUUCGGCUGUAACGUGUAACGCGACGUUACUACAUACUGUCUGUCUGAGUCGUGGUCGUGGCGUGAAAUGUGAAUGGCGGGCGGGAGGGCAGGGCAACGUACUGUGGAGACCGAGCGAAAAUACGGUAUUGUUGCUGUAAGUUUAUUAUUAACAUCAUCAUCCAAUGUAAACAAAACCAUAAAUGAGAGAAACAAACUAAUAGCUGACAGAAAAUGCCAAAUAUCGUGGUUAUCAUAGAAAUCCAUAAAGAGAUAAAAAUUAAAAAUACUUACAGUCCAUGAACUUGAUUUAUGCACAUAAAAAUACAAUGAGGCAGACCAAAAUAUCAUAGCCAACAAAAUAUAUAGUAAUGGCCAAAAAUGUAAUUUUUCCUUUGAUAUUAAC